CAGUUCCCCAUCAAUAACAUCGGACCCAUUUCCUUUUGGACUUCAAAUUAUUGGGCUCCCGGUCGGGUUCCGGCGGUUCUCAUCUCCGGUUCGUUUUCAUUCGCCAUUCGAAAAUUCUAACACUCCGAUCGAAUAUGGAUUUCACAAUAAUAAUUCAAUGCUAGUGCUUCAUUAAAAAACCUCAGACAACAAAACUUUCGCGCUUUCACAGAACCAUCAAGUGAUGCAGAAAUCUAGCCUCAAAGAUGACACGCCUCAUUUGGAAUCAUGUGAAUAUGGAACAUAACACGUUUUGAGCACAUCCAAGUCUAAUGUCGUCAUCAACUCUUUGAAUUGUCAUCUAAAUUGUCCAUUCUUGUGCGGGUUACUUGCAGUCCCAAGUCAUGAUGGAUAUGUUACUUGCGCAUACUUCGACGAAUUCCACGGAAUACCUGCUUCUUCCCACUAGCAACAGGUAGCAGGUAACUCUAUCCACGAAGGCUUGCAUAGAUGAGAAAAAAUCACCUUGUGUUUUUGUCUCCGCUGAGAUUUGAACCUGAGACGUCAGAUUCUCAACCCGCUUCAUUGACCACUAGGCCACACCCUUGGGUGCUAAUAAAAUGUAUCUUUAUUGAAACCCAGCUUCUUUUAUGUUACUUCUAAGAACGGUGCAUUUCUGUUGGAUCGGAGGUAGACCCAUGCUACACAAAUGACCGAGUGUCUUUUUAAGAAUCAUGACCUUGAAUUCAAUUCCAAAUUCUUGCACUGUUGUGCAUUCUCCACCUUUUACCUCUCCGUUAAUGCUGAUUUUGUUAUGAGACUGACAUUUCAACUUCUUUUUCAUGGUAUCCCUUCAAUUAAAUGGGAAGAUUGCAUCUUAUUUCCCGGUUACUGACAAAUUGAGAAGUGGUGCAUGGUCAGACCUUUUUACCUUACAAACAUUACUGUCAUACUCAUCACAUUUGAACCGGAUAUCAUGCCUAUGCAGCCAAUCAAUCAGACCACUUGAAUAUUCCAAUUUGUUGGAUCAACAUUAGUUGUUGAUGGUUCCUUCUUUUCCCCGAAUUUGUUGUUGAUCCUUAAAGAUUAAUUUGUGCAUGUGUGGGUUGAUGCUUGUGAUUAUUGCUUGGAAUGAUAGAUCAUGUGACAUCUGAUCAUUGUGGAGGAGGAGCUUUGGUUUGUUUUAGGGAGAAAAGUAGCACAUCUAUGUGUCAUUCAUUGUCAGUUCACCACUUUCUAAAAGACCUUACAACAAAAGGGUCCGACUCAGGAAUAAGCACUGUAUCCAACCUUUUAUCAUUUUCCAUACCAUGUGGGAAGCAUAUCAAAUUACAAAUUCAAUGCCUUUUGUUAAAUGAAACUAUUCCAACUUCUGCGGUCCUAACUGCUAGGUGCAUUUUUCUAUGCACGUUUCUUUUCAUGGGCGUUGGACCUCUGAAAUGUCUUUCUGCCAGAACCAAACUCCAUUAGUAGGUUUUAUUGGUUUAUUAACGUGGUUGAGGCUCUCCAGUUUCUUGAAAUAUGGAGGACAGGGAUAAUCGACUCCAAUAUAUAGUUUUGCCUCCAAGAUAUUGUUGUUCAAUUACCUGCCUAAUAUGUCUUUGAUAUUCAUUGGUGUUGCAGGUGAGUGUCUUUUUUAAUGCGUUUCCUAAGAUCUGCAAUUACUACGAGGAAAAAUCAUCUCUUCUUUCCAUUUCUGAGUGCAGAUUCAUGCAUCUUUCCCUUGCAUUUGAAGGUAUUAAUUAGCUUAUUUUCCAAGUUUCCGUAAAAAGGUAAUCUCUGUUCUUGUUCAUGUCAAAUGCAUCACAAAGGCGAUGCUAAUGUCUGUUAAAUUAGAAGAAUAAUUACUUCUCUCCCCACGGUUAGUCAGUUGGAACUUGGAAGUUUUUCUUGUACAUAUCUUCGCACGAUAUUUAGCAGCGAUUAUGAUAAAGGCAGUGAACAUCCAAGCCGAUUAUGUCUCGGGUGGCAAAGACUAAUUUGGAGAUAACACAUCCUUGUCUAUGGUGCCACGGCGUAUCUGGCACUUGUAACGAUGAGGAAGAGAGAGUCAUGUCUGUGGCAGCUGAGGUAUUGUAUCUCUUAAAUAGUUAGAGCUGCUGUCAAUUUAUUUUGGAGUUCACUGGGUGUGAUAUCUAGGGUGCUUGUAUUGUCAUUUUGAGAGCAUUGAAUUAUGCGCCCCGGGAUUAUGGUUCAGUAGUAAGUGUACAGCGCAUGAAUUGUGAUAUGUGGGUGAGUUGCAUGGACGAGUUCAUCCUGUCGUACUCGAAAGUUGGGUAUUUAAGUGGAGAAGGAUAGAGGGGCAGGCUCAUUACCCACUGAGUUUCAAACUGUGUCCCAGCUAGCUCACGGGAUUUUCUCUGUUGUCAAAAAGAGGUUUGAGUAAGCACGAUAACUUACAAUGUUACAUUUUUGUGUUAUUCUUCAGCCUUAUUUUAUGUUUAUAACUGAGUUUGAUUAAGAAUCGCUCCUAUGAACUGUAACUGCUAAAACGUCGCUUACUGUUUCAUUCUAUUCAGGAUUCAGAAAUUUUAGUUU